rnacentral:rRNA from 1 species
UACAGAGGUCCCAAGCGUUGUUCGGAAUCACUGGGCGUAAAGGGUGCGUAGGCGGGUCUUAAGUCAGGGGUGAAAUCCUGGAGCUCAACUCCAGAACUGCCUUUGAUACUGAGAAGCUUGAGUCCGGGAGAGGUGAGUGGAAUUCCUAGUGUAGAGGUGAAAUUCGUAGAUAUUAGGAAGAACAACCAGUGGCGAAGGCGGCUCACUGGUCCGGUACUGACGCUGAGGUGCGAAAGCGUGGGGAGCAAACAGG